CCUACGGGAGGCUGCAGUGAGGAAUAUUGGUCAAUGGGCGCGAGCCUGAACCAGCCAAGCAGCGUGAAGGAUGACUGCCCUACGGGUUGUAAACUUCUUUUAUAAAGGAACAAAGUGAGGCUCGAGUGCCUGUUUGUGUGUACUUGAUGAAUAAGGAUCGGCUAACUCCGUGCCAGCAGCCGCGGUAAUACGGAGGAUCCGAGCGUGAUCCGGAUUUAUUGGGUUUAAAGGGAGCGUAGAUGGGUUGUUAAGUCAGUGGUGAAAGUUUGCGGCUCAACCGUAAAAUUGCAAUUGAUACUGGCAGUCUUGAGUACAGUUGAGGUAGGCGGAAUUCGUGGUGUAGCGGUGAAAUGCUUAGAUAGCACGAAGAACUCCGAUUGCGAAGGCAGAUUACUAAACUGCCACUGACAUUGAGGCUCGAAAGUGUGGGUAUCAAACAGGAGUAGAUACCCGUGUAGUC
rnacentral:rRNA from 1 species